UGGCCAAUGCCACCAUCAGCCCCGGUCCCCCGGCACUCCAGGUGUGCCCAGGUGACCCCGUGACCCUGCGCUGCUCAGUGCAGGUGGGCUCAGCCCCUGUCACCUUCACCUGGCUGCACGACGGGCACGAGGUGGCCCGGGGUCCCCUCCUGGAGCUUGGGGCCGUCGAUGUGGGACAUUCGGGCACCUACCAGUGCGUGGCCACCAACCAGCUGGGACAGGACGGGCACCGCGUGUUCCGGGCACUCAGCCCAGAGCUGGCCCUGGAGGUGACACCACAGGGAACCACUGGACACCACUGGAACACAGUGGCUGUGAAUGUCGGCAGAACCCUCCUGUACCUGCUCCUGCUCCUGGCUGUCAUCGGGGGCUGUGGCUGGUGGCACCGCCGGGCUUUCAGGAAGCAGCAGGAACGGCCUCGCCAGGAGCCCUCGGCCCCACCGGAGGAGGGGGCGGUGCUAGAGCCCCAUGUGGUGGGCAUCGAGCGGUCAGGGGGUGAGUACAGAGGGGGACACGGACACAUCACCCCCUCCCACCACAUCCCCCAGGUGACCCAUGCAGAGCUCCCAGGAUCCCACGGGCGACAGCGGGACUCCAGUGACAUCUAUGAGAACGUGCUGUAACAUUGGGGACACUGGGGGUACUGGAGACAAUGGUAAAACUGGGUGCACGGAAGGUCCCUGCCCAAGGGCAACCGCUGUGUGUCUCCCCCCGUCAACUCCCGUGGGUGCCCACCCUGCCCGGAGGUGGCCACGAGCGGGGGGGCCCCAUAUGGGGCUUCCCAGAGCUCCCCGUUCCAGUGCUCCCAGUGCUCCCGAUACACCCAGAGGCUUCCUCAGUGCCAGGUGACACAGGACCCUUGUCCCUCUUAUUAGACACAAAACGCAGCUCCGCGGUUAAACCGGGAGAAAUGGUUUUGGUUUGUUCAGCUCUGCCUGCUCAGCAGGGAAGGAGGAGGGUCCCAGUCAGGUUGUUGAGCAGAUCCUUGUGAGAUUUGCAGGAUUUUUGGGGCUCUCUCAGUGCCUUGGGGACAGGCACCAAACGAUCAAUCGCUGCAUUUCUGGACUGGUUCCCCCGCAGAGGGGAAGGAGCUGCCGCUCCCUGUUUGUCCCCUCUUGGUGACACCGGCCAAGGGCUCGGGGACCUCGGGGUGGCCACGGGCCCCGAUCCCGCAGCUGCCGAGCCCC